CUACGGAGGAUCCGAGCGUUAUCCGGAUUUAUUGGGUUUAAAGGGUGCGCAGGCGGCCAUUUAAGUCAGCGGUUAAAUCGUGGGGCUCAACCCCAUUCUGCCGUUGAUACUGGGUGGCUUGAUUGCGGUCGAGGUUGGUGGAAUUCGUUGUGUAGCGGUGAAAUGCAUAGAUAUGACGAAGAACACCGAUUGCGUAGGCAGCUGACCAGACCGCAAAUGACGCUCAUGCACGAAAGUGCAGGGAUCGAACAGGAUUAGAUACCCUGGUAGUCCGCACAGUAAACGAUGAAUACUUGUUUUCGGCGAUAUAAUGUCGGAGGCAAAGCGAAAGCGAUAAGUAUUCCACCUGGGGAGUACGCCGGCAACGGUGAAACUCAAAGGAAUUGACGGGG
rnacentral:rRNA from 1 species